GAUGAACGCUGGCGGCGUGCUUAAUACAUGCAAGUCGAACGAAGACAGUAGCAAUAUUGUCUGAGUGGCGAACGGGUGAGUAACGCGUUGGUGACCUGCCCCGAAGAGAGGGAUAACAGUCCGAAUGGAUUGCUAAUACCCCAUGUGGUCGUUUGGAUUAGAUGCCUUAUGACUAAACGGAUUUAUUCGCUUCGGGAGGGGCCUGCGUCCCAUCAGCUAGUUGGUAGGGUAAUGGCCUACCAAGGCGAUGACGGGUAGGGGACCUGAGAGGGUGGCCCCCCACAAUGGAACUGAAACACGGUCCAUACACCUACGGGUGGCAGCAGUAGGGAAUAUUGGUUAAUCUGGGAAACCGGGAACCAGCAACGCCGCGUGCACGAUGAAGGCCUUCGGGUUGUAAAGUGCUUUUUGAAAGGAUGAGGAAGGACAGUACUUUCAGAAUAAGCUUCGGCUAACUACGUGCCAGCAGCCGCCGUAAAAC
rnacentral:rRNA from 1 species